rnacentral:lncRNA from 1 species
UCAUUUGCAUUUGAAGAAUGUCAAGUCUCUCCCUUGUCAUAGUAAUCUGCUGCUUGUAUUUGGCUAAGUAUUCAUUUAACCCUUUUAGAUUCUGCUUUAGUGCCUUCAACUUACUCCAGAUUUGCUGCAUAUGUGAACCCUGAUACUCCUUGUUCCACACUUUCUCAACAAUAUCUUGGAACUGCUCAUGCUCCAUAACAUUG